GACGAGACGAGACGGGACGAGACGAGACGAGACGAGACGAGACGAGACUGGAACUGCAAAGAUUGCAGCUGUGAUAAAGGAUCUCAAGACAAAGUCAUCCCGGAUCAUCCAGCUGUGCAUGAUGGCUCACGCCUGUAAUCCCAGCACUUUGGAAGGCCAAGGCAGGUGGAUCACCUGAGGCCAGGAGUUCGAGACUGCCUGGCUAACAUGGUGAAACCCCGUCUCUACUAAAAAUACAAAAAAAUAAUUAGCCCGCCAUGAUGGUACACGCAUGUAAUUGCAGCUACUCGGGAGACUGAAGCAGGAGAAUCACUUGAACCUGGGAGGCAGAGGUUGCAGUGAGCUGAGAUCAUGCCACUGCACUCCAGCCUGGGCGACAGAGCAAGACUCCAAAAAAAUAAAAAUAAAAAUAAAAAUAAAUAAAUAAAUAAAUUUCUCCUUCUCAAAUGGGUAUCAGUCAUAUUAAACUUGUGCUCACCCUAAUGAUCUCACUUUAAUUUGAUCACCUCUGUAAAAACCCUAUUCCCAAAUAAAGUCGCAUUCUGAGGAACUGCAGUUUAGGACUUCAAUGUCUCUUUUCUGGGGGAUACAAUUCAACCCUGACAACCGUACACCCCCAAGCCCAUCACACUUCCCACUGGCCGUUCCCAGCCUAUAUCCGGCUCUGGUCUGUUGCCAAGUCUUUGCACACUCCCUUUUCCCCUCUGGUGACUCAGCAAACAUUUUCAUUCUUCAUUCUCAACAAUACCACCUCCUCCAGGAAGUCUCCCGUGAUGCCCAUAGGCCUGGGUUCACUGCCCACCAUCUGUGCCUGCCUUAGUGUCCUGUCAUGGCAUUUGCCAUGCAGUAUGUGACUGACUCCUUGCCAGCAUGCUUGGGUGCUGAGCCCCUGGAGGACAAGGGCCAUGUCUCUUGCUGCUGUUUCUUCUUUCUCUAAACCACUUUAUUGUGGUCUAAUUAACACAGAGGAAGCCAUGCAUAUUUAACGCUUACAACUUGAUGAUUACGGAGAUGAGUAUACAGCCGUGAAACCAUGCUGAAACAGCCUUUGCAAAAUUAUAACAGGAAAAAUGACGGCAGUGAAAGAAAUCAGACCUAACCAAAUCAAUCUUGCUUCUAACCUUUAAGCUGUCCUUGCUCAUUCCUGGGUGUAGGCCGAACUAACUUUAGGAAGGAAUUCAGUUCAUGGUUUGACUCUGAAACAAAAUUGAUAAGAGCCCUUUCCCAGAAAGACCCCC
rnacentral:lncRNA from 10 species